rnacentral:miRNA from 1 species
CCUGGCACAUAGUAGGUACUCAAUAAAUGUUUAUUGGAUGGGUGGGUGGAUGGAGGGAUGAAGAGCAUUCCACCUGGCCCUUAGAUGCCCUUC